AUGAUACUGAGUUUGAACCCAAAGUACUCAUUUUCUUUACCACAUUGAAGCACAGCUCAGAGCAUGCAGAGUCUGGUGUAGUUGUUAAGAAAAUACACUGUUCCAAACAUGCUGCUUUUGAUGAUAUGCCCCACUGGAGCUCAGCAAAUGUGCAUUACCUUUUUUUCCACGAUAACACAAGUCCAUAUGCUUUCUGAUGAAAUUCAAAGAGGCAUUUAUAUUUCUCUUCUGCUUGUAAUUAGGGCAGAGCAGACGGAGGAGACCCUGACAUUUUAUAUCAGUUUGCACAGGGGCUGUGGUCAUGAUGCCAGGGCAGGAAUUGUGAGACUCUUUAAGCUUUGUUAAUGACUCUGCUGGAGAUGCUUCCUCCAGGGCUCAGGUUCUGCUCCCCUUAUAUCAAUGACUUAACCUAAUUUAUUAAACAAUGAGCUAACACUAAUUAACCCACUGAACAAGGUUUGUCCUCAAGACUGUUUCUGCAGUGCCAGUGACAAGUGACCAGAGACACUAGGUUUGCUUGCGCUGUCUGUGUGUCCUCCUUGGGAAAAUGGGGAGCAAGUGGUGGGAUACACAUGCUGAAAAGCACUUUGCUGUGGUGCUGCUAUGUCCCAACCAGUGUGUAACAUCUGGGUAAGUUUUAACAGGAGUUAGGCAAACACUGACAUCUGCAUGGAGUUGUCUACAUGUGAAAUGGCUGUCUGUGCUUGGUUUGUAGUCAAUGGUGGUCUGUCAGUCCUGCCAGAGUAGCCCUGAGAGGUGUCCAAGCAUCAGGGGCUCAGUUCAAUUGUUUAAACAUACAUGUCUGGUGCCAUUUGAGAUGCCCUGGAGUGCAUCUCAAAGGUUGGACAUCCCCAGAGAGCAGAAGAUUUAGCACAGGACUUUUGCUGUCCUGGAAGUUGCUGGCCACACCAGACACCUGCACCCAGUCAAACCCAGUUGUCUGCUUGAGGGUAGGGUGAAAUGCUCUCCAGGAUCUGCUCACUGCAUCAGCAAACUGCCAGAGAUUGCAACCUGCACUCAGCACUCACAUGUAGACACCUGGAUGGAAGCACCUUCACCUCCAGCUGCACCCAGUCCCUUAAGGCUGAAGAUACAGGUCUGGCUCCCAGAGACAUCCAGAGUUGAAUAUGUAGGUAAGCAGCUCCAGAGGGGAGGUAUUCAGCCCGUUUUUAACAGCUACUAUAGGAGCAAAAGUGCCCUCUGAAAAUGCCUUUCAUCAAACUGGCUGCAGAGGGACACUAGGCAUGCAGCUGUUUAACUUUCAGGUUAAGAAAAUGAGAAGCAUCCCACCUUUAGAUGAGAUGUAAUCCUUUUAACUCCACUGACCCAGAAACAGUUUUCUCCAGUUACCUGCAGGAGAGGCCAUAUGGGAGACACAGUAAUGAUAUUCUGAACCUCAGGAGCAUCUUGAAUAUUUCUGAACUUUGCAAAAUGAUGUUGACUUAGAGAUAGUUGAGUUGGAACUGAGCCAUGCACCAGCUAAAAACUUACUGUUUUUUCCUUUUUCCAGAUACCAUUUUGCACCUUUGCAGCCCAAAAGAUCUGUGGAAAUGAGCAUAGUUUCUCACUCUAUUUCCCUGUGCAAUUUGAGUCUUCACCACUUGGGUGGUGUUUUCUUAGCCCUUUCUUAUAUUUUCAUUCUUUUUGAAAGGUGAAAAGACCACAGUUUCACUUGGGUUGUUCUGGGAGGCAUACAAACCAUGAUGGCUGCUGUGGGAUUGAUCUGAGAAGUUUAGUGUGGGAGUAAUGACAUUUUCAAAUUAAGACUGGCUGACCCAGAUGCUCUUUAUAGAGGUAUCUCAUUUAGAAGCUUAAGUGAAUUAUAUGGCCAAAGUUUUAAAAGGGGAUGUGAGGGGAAAAACUGGGACAACUGAAAAAGUGCAGCAACAGUGAAAGUCUGAGAAGUGCAAUAGGCUCUGUAUAAAUCCACAAUUCAUCACCCUGGGGACAUUUGGGAGUGGAAGUAAUUGUAGAAAAGUAAAAGUGCCAAGAUCACAGUCAGAAGGGAGUCACCCAUGAAGAUUUGUUCAUGCAGCUAAGCUAACUUCCAUGGAUAAAGUUCAAAAAGAAAAGGGAAUGAAUACUCUGUACCCAGACAGCAAUAAACCUUCAGCUGCUGACCCCUGACAGAAAUCUAUAGACCACCAGCGUGGGAAACCUCAGCUUUACACUCUAAAUGAUUCAACAUUUGUUCCCUCUGAUGACACCGCGAAUCUGGGAAUGAAGAACUUCUUAGAGCUGAUUGGAAAUGGCAUUGCGGAGCUGAAACUUAACUGGAGGAAAUAUAUCUCCUGAAGAAGAAAAUAUAAUGCACUGUAAGGAUCUGUCUUCUGGUGAAAAAUUCAAGCCUAGAGAAAACUUGUCUGCUUUGUUAGGAAGAAUGGGUUGGACAAUUUUCUUCAGUUCCAAAGGAUAUCUGAAUGCCAUGCUGAGCUUAAUCUCUGCAGCAUGCUCUGUGCUUCUCAUCUCUUCCUGAUGCACUGCAUGGUUAUUCUGAAGGGGAGGAUAAAGAAACUGGCCACCAAGAUGGUAAUCACUAGUGGGAAUGAAGAAGAUAAAGGCAGUCAAGAAAAGGAAAGCAAAGAAGAAACCAUCUUAGCAAUGCUUGGAAUUAUUGGGACAAUUCUGAACCUCAUUGUGAUCAUUUUUGUGUAUAUUUAUACAACGUUGUAAACUAGAAGGCAUGCAAAUAGACCAGAUAAAACGGCCAUUAAGAGUGACAACAAACAUUGCUGACUAUUGACAAGUUCUUUAAUCAGAAUUGACUCUGUAUUAUAUUAACACAUCAUAAAAGCACUGCCUGAAGGCAGCGAAGACUGAAGCACAAUUAAUUUAACAAGACUUUUUCACACAGUAAUAAGCUUAACUCUUCUCUCUUGCCCCCUCCCUUUUGCUUUGGUUUUCUGUUUGGGGGAGAAUGACUGCAGUUAUAUAAGUUGUAGCUUUGAAGAAAUCCACCAGAGAUAUGUUGUUUUAAAGCAAUUAAAAAAAAAAAAAAAGGAAAAGAAAAUAAAAGAAAGGGAAAAAAAAAAGAAAAGAAAGAAACUGUAAUAUAUAUAAUUAGAAAUGUAUGCUGUAUACCCGCAAAGAUUGAACUCAAAGAUAGCUUCAUAGCACAGAUCACGUGUCUGUUAGGUCAAAUGGUUUUUUCUCUUGGUUUUUGCUUUUACUUACAUUGAAACUGACAAGCUUUUUAUUUAGAAUGAACAUAUGGUGCAAUCAUGAAAAAAACAAUUCUGUUGAGCAAGGUCUGCCUAAACCUGAUAAAAUGUUGGGAGAAAUACAUUACAUGGUUAUUUUUCCUUUCUCAUUUGCUUAACAUCUGUGUCUGUUCAUACCAAUGUUUAUAAAUAUAUAUUUUUAAUAAAUGUGCUAUAUUUUUAGCAUGAACCAAAUAUUUGGAGACACUUGUAUUCAUGCAGCUAAAUUUUGUUUGAUUAAGUGCCCCUUUUGACAAUGGAUGUUAUUUUCCUCGGCAAUUAUACAGCAGUCUUGUUUGCAGCCCUCUCACUGAGGUCUGAAGCAAGCUCACAUCAUGCUCACAUGCAUGACUUGAAGUUGGAAUGUCAGCUGAAAAGCAUUGCUGCUUAAUAUGGGAAAUAGCAAAACAUUGUAAGGUGACCUUUGGAGACUGGUUGCAGAAAGAAGGCUCUAUUUAUAGUUAAAAAAAAGAAAAAGCCAAUGAAAGGAACACUGAGGCAUCUCACAAAAUAGUGCAAAAUUCAUAGAAUUUAUGGCUUUCAGUAUCUGGUCACGCUCUCUAAGUACUUGUGCUGAGAGAAGUGAGCAGAGGUUUAUACAGUUGAAAAGAGAAAUUUAUAGAGCCUAUAGUGAGGGGCUGAAGUGAAAUCCAGAUUGUAAAUACAGAGUGUACUUUAAAUGUGAGGAUCAUUAACUCUUUAUGCUUCUCUGACAUGUGCUUUAACUGAGUUGGUGCAGUGAAAUUCUCUGACUUGUGUUUUUGACAGGAAUGUACAAUGAUGAUGAUCACCAUUUUUCGUCAGAGUUCAGUACCUAUAAAUAUACAAAGCAUUAAAAAUAUGAGAUUUCAAUUCUGCCUCAAGCUGCCUAAGUACAUUGCCUACUAACUCCAAUAUAUCCUCUUAAAAAACAGGUCAAUUAAUUGUUUACUGACUUGUGGUUUGGAUUGCAUCCUCAGAUGUACAAGGAAGAUUGGUAUUGAAGUAAGCUAGAGCUGUGAAAAUUUUCACCUUAGAGUCUUAUUAAUUUUAGUGAUCAGACCUGUCCCUCUGGAAUCAAUAAUGACUUUUUCACCAUUUUCCAGGGUCUAGGAAUGAUCUCAAAAAUACAGCAUUUCAGUGCAGGAUAUAAAAGAAAGCCUGGAAAAUCCUGAGGGGCACCUCUUAUAAACAGAGGUGUUUAGUCUCUUAUGGAUCACACAGUCAAUAACCAAACCAUUAAGAGUAGAAAAAAGGUCAGUAAAUAUAUUACAAUGAAAUCCAAUAAGAAGACUAAAGGAAAACAAAGCAAAAAUAAUCUCGUGUUAAUGAAAACAUGACAGGGUGAGAGAGGUGAGAAAAUGAGCAGAGAUUUGAAGUAGAAAACAGCUCAGAAAGCCAGUGCCAUGCAUGCCAGCAUAGCUGAGGAAACAUUUCUGUUUGCUGUAGAGCUGCAGGUCUCAGAGAGGACAAGAAACAGUAGUGGUGCAGGACAGUGUAGCUCAAUGAAGGUGAUCUUGUUUCUUAAUUUAUUGCUAUUUAUUGAAAAAUCUAAGGAAUCAGCAAACUCUACUUUUUGAUCAACCUGACGGCCAAAAUAUAUUUCACUCCACUUGGCAUUUUUUUCUUCUGUUUAAACUGCUGCUGCUCACAGCCUGUGGCUUUGAGCUCCUGCACAUGCUCCAGGCACCAGUCUAGCUUCAGCCAGCCCCUUGCCUGCCAGGAUCUUCUCUGCAGAUAUUUCUCUUAAACUUCUCCUUUUCCAACAAACACCAGAGCAAUCUGCCCAGGGCUCAUGCUCAUUUUCUAGAGGGACAUCCUCUGAGUCAAAAGAUGAAAUCUCAUGCCAGAUACUUCUUUGCCUCCCUCUGCAUCAAAUGGUAAUAUAUCUUCUUGGGGGCUUAAUGAAUGAAACUUCAUUAGGAGUUCUACUAUUUUUACAAAUUAUAUUGGAAAACAGCAUAGGACACCUCAGCCACUGAAGCAACGUAGGAAUUUUUGCUGCUCAGCCCAGGUGCACUUGUUCAGACAUGGGCCAGCACCUUCAGCAAGUCAGGUAUGGCAAAUAGCCCAAAUAAGCAGAAAUAGUGACUCAAGGGCCUCAGGAUUCCAUGUUUUCCUUGCUGUACUUUGUCUGUCUGUUAGUCCUGAUGGAGGCAGUUUGUCCAGGUGCACUAUCCCACCCGCAGCAGCUGUGUGCAUGUGCUUUGCCACAUGACUUCUAUUCCUCUGAAAGAGGAAGAAAGGUUUAUCCCAUUCUAUAAAAAGUUUAACAUUUAACAUUUUAAUUUUACAGGUUUCUAUUCACAGAUAGUUCUAGAAAUAUCCCAGGGCAAUUUCUUCUUAAGUAGAUUCAUUAAGUAUUCAUUUAAAUAAAAAUGAAGAGUUUCCUUUGAGGGCAAUUUCUUUACCUUUUAUUUGGUAUUCAUGAACAUUGAGAGGGGAAAAGUAUGUUUUCAAGAAUGACAGUGGAAGAGGGAUAUUUUAUACAAAUAUCUGAAGGUAUGUCUACCCAGACAGCUGUGGGCAGGCCUGCUCUUGGCUCAGUGACAGCUGGAGCCAAAUUACCCUCAUGCUUUUUUAUUUGAGCAGUUUUCAGCAUGCACCUAUAAGAAAUAUUUGACUAGGUAAUAUAUAUGUCAUGGAUACCUUGUAGUCAGUAACUGCUCUAUAAACAGUUGAAAAUAACUUCUCAUUACAAGAGUUAAAUGGUAAAUCUGCUUUGGCAAGGAAAAAUCCAACAGUCUCAUUUUUGGCUUGACUUGCAUGUAAUGCAAACAGUUUCCAAAGUAAAUUUUAAAAAAUGAAGUAUUAGUCCAUUAGUGACAGGAACUUUUGUCUUUGAGUAGAAGGAAAUUAAUAUCCAAUAUCAUAAGAAGAUAUUAAAGCAUCACCUUUUGCUUCAGGCAACUAAGAAUACGAUUACAUACCCUAUGUAGUUUGAAGGUCUGUGUCAUGGGAAUGAAAAAUAUUUUCAUGAGGUGACAGAAAGAUGACACUGUGCUCAUUAUCUGUUGUGUUGGCUGGUGGAUGCAGAAGACUUUCCAAGAAGGGAGAAGAUAAAACUAUUUAUUAUGCACACAAUAGGAUUAGGAGAAAGAAAACAGACAGGUUACUGCCCUCCAAUCUGGUUCCUACAACUGCAUUGAAAACUCAGCAUCUCGGGAACCACAUCUUUAUACAGGAAUGUAUCAUCCCGUGUACGGGCUCUCAGGGCAGUCCUCUCAGUUAUGUUCCUUCUGCUCCUUCCACCUGCACUCUGCAGCAGUGAGUGGCUCAUUGUGCCUGAGGAAAGUUGGAACACAAACCCAGCCUGGCAGCAGUUGUUUUGUUUUACUGAGGUGUAACAAUCUACUCUGAGCCUGAGUUUUAUUAUUUUAAGGACAGUCAAUCAUCAUCAUCAUGUUACUGUCUGAUAAUCUAAGGGAUCCUUCAUUCUGUGAAUGCCCAGAUAAAUCCUACCCCUGGCCUACGGGUAAAAUUUUGAUUCAGUAGGCAUCAAAAUACAAAAGAAAGCUUCAAUUAGAUCACAACCAAACUUCAAGCAUUGCUUAAGUCCAUGUGUCUUAUGCUUCCAUUUAUCUAUACACUGGAGCUCACCCCAAAUGCCCCAAGAUCUCAUCUGUGUCAAGAGGUCUCAUGUCUUCUGAGUCAGAAUUACCAUUCCUGUGUGAAUUAUGGCAUAUGCAGAGAACUUGGCCCAUAGAAGGAAAAGAUAAAAAUUAACUGAAUUAUUACUCUAGGGAGGCAGCACUGCAGAAUUUACUAAUUAGUUUGAGGUCUAGCUGGAGUACUUUGUUUCUUGAUAGCCAAUAUUUUGGAGAAAAAAUAUUAUUGUUCCUUGGAAAGUUCCUGGAAGAAAUAUGUCUAAUUGAAAGAAAGAACCUCAUUGAAAAUAUUUCAGCAGCUGUCCUCCAAAGAAAACACUGAUCAGGACUCUGAGUGGCUUGUCUCCCAAGAGAACUGUUUGGCAGCCCAGGAACACAGUGCACAUAAAUGUAAGCACCUCUUGUUUACUGAGAGGCUUUGUCUUCUGUGGAACAGAAUGCACAGAUUUACAAAGAUUUACAAAUUUAUGAAAUAGCACAUAAUGCAACAUCAACAACAAAAAAAUCUGUUUACCUUUAUUUCCAGCAGAUGUGCUGCAGACACCCUGCAGAACCUGCACUGCUUCCAUACCUGGCUGUGUGUUGUGGAGGCUCAUCCCAGAAGAUCGUAUAAACUCAGUGCAGCUUUCUUUCCCCACCACUGAUCCAAGAGAAACAAAACCUAUUCAGUGUGGAACCCUCCACACCAGACUGAAAUCCCACAUGCUUCCCUAUGCAUUUAUCUGCAUAUGAACCAUCUGCUGUCCAAUAAGACUUUCCUUGUCUCAGGCAUUAGGUUUGCUUAUCUGCAUUUCACCUGGGGGCUCAGGCUGUGAAAGGCAAUUUGUAGAGCUGAAAGCACCCAACUGUUUCCAAUGAUCCAGCUUUACACAGUGGAGCUGUCACCUGGGUAGUGCCUGCUCACGUGCAUGGCGCAGCACACACCAUCCUCUUGUGUGGUCUCACACUGGCACAGCCUCUGUGGCACCCAGGGGGUGGGGCUGGGCUGUAACUGGCCCAUGCAGCCAAAAAAGGGUGCAAGAAAAAGUGUUCUGUGCAAAAGCCUGGAUCCCAAGGCAAGCUCUGUAGAGUGAAAGGACAUCCUGCCUUGUUGAUAGCAAGGCACUUUGCUGUGCCCACUGGGAACCUUCUUCUGCAGCCAGUCCCAGUUCAGCUGAAGGUGACCCGUGCACCACCCUGAGCCUCUUGUGGCAGCUGCAGGACUUCCUUCCCCCUGAGGGAAGUUAACAGCUCUGGACUUUCCUAAUCUCCUAGAACGGGGAACCAUGUCACUCUUGCACACAGCAGCAGAAGCAUCCAUUUCUAGCUGACAAUGACAAGGCCACCUGCCUAGGGCACUGAUGGGAACCCUUUUCCCACCCAUCAAUCCUCACAGUCUGGCAAAUGCAGGUUAAUUUCCUGGACUCCAGGUUCUCCUCCACAGAACUCAGUCACUAUUCAGACUUCUUUUAUGAUGCUGAGACUUUGUUAAACUCAAAUGGCUCCCAAAGCCAAGUCUUCAGGAACAUAUUAAACGUCAUGAUACUUUCAUUUGGCCUUGAAAUCAUGAAGCUGUCACCAUAACAAGCCUUGGGUGUUGUCAGUCUCUGCCAUCAAGGUAUUAAGGGACAAGCAUUAGCAAGGGACACCAUGUGGGAGCCAUGGGCAGCCAAAGGUUAAUGUACUGUGGCUGCUUUAACCAACACUUCCCUUCUUGAGGAGCUGUGGUAUUAUGUUGGAUUGAUAUUGGUGGUGGGUAAAUGUAAUAAAAUGUUUGUGCAGCAGGACGUGAUUUCACCUUUAUUUCCUGCAAACUUGAUGGGAAAGUCUUUAUAAAUAAUUCUGGCUUUGUCAAUUUAAAAUAUGGAUUAAAAUUUACUAUAUAUGUUUUCAAA